CGAACCCAGUAAACCCUUCCUUAGAACCAUUAUUCUUCUUCAUCGCAACAAUCUUCUUCUUCUUCUUCUUCUUCAAUGCAAACAAUCUUCUUUUUUUCACUGCAAUCAAUCGAAUUCUUUAUUGCACCUUCAUCACCUUCGAACCAUUCAUAAAGUGAAACCCUAACUUUCAUAGAAAUUGAACUGCUUUACUCAAACUUGAAAAUUCGAACCGUUCCUUCGCUGAAAACUUGGAAAUUCGAACCGUUCCCUUCACCCAUUGAUAUGGAACUGAUCGACGUACCGCGAGAGAUCUGGAAGAGGAGAUUGAGAAUAUGGGUGGACAUCUUAAUGCUUAUACUUCGAGGGAGCAGACUACUUAUUAUGCUAAAGUUUCGCAGAAUGAUGUACCUAAUGCACUUGAUAUUCUGGCUGAUAUUCUGUGUUUAUUGCAGUUAUUUUCAAUCUCUUAAUCGUGAGUUUUUUAUCAUGAUUUUUGAUUUUGCAGUUAAAACUCAUGAUUUAUUGCAGUUAUUUUCAAUUUCUUUCUGUGUUUUUUAUCAUGAUUUUUGAUUUUUUUUAUUUGAAACGGCUUUUAUGUUAUUAUUAUAUUAUUAGACCUUGGAUUCUAGAUUGCUCUUGUGGUAAGUUGCUUAGUGUAAUUGAUUCACAAUCUCUGUUAGUUGGUUAAAGAGUAAAUUAUAGUAUCACAAGAGGUUAAGCAUUUACUAGUUUUUUGUACCAAGCUUGAUUGUGAGUUUGUUUAUAAAUUGAAGUUUGCGACCCUUUCUACUUUGUAACUGUUAUGGAAUCCAUCUUGCUUGUUCGUAGAAUUUAGAUACCGAUAAUAUGAUGAACAGUCUGGAAUACAAUGCCAAUCCAAACAUAAAUGUGUUACACCUAGUCCACUUGGGAAAAAGGAUCAUAAUACAACAUAUAUGCAUUGGAAUGAACUGAUCACAUGGUUCUGUUUUGGUGAAAGAAAUUAGAAUGUACUAUAACUUAUGUUUUGUUUGUUUUCAAGAUGUAGUUUGGUUUUUAUUUUUUAAUUUUCAAUAAAAAAUACAUAUAACAAUUGACACAAGUUCAACUUAUGAUAUGCAUAUGCUUUAUAGUCUCGGAUGUUUGAGCUAAUUGUGGACUAAUCGUCUCGGAGGUUUGAGCUAGAAUCAUUAGUGUCUGGGCUGUGCAGAAUUUUCUGUCUCUCGCAGUCUCGCUUCAAUUUCUCUCUUGAUCAUUAUGGCAUCGUGGGGUAAUAGAAAGCAAUAUGAGGCUCAAAUACUUACGAAGGAAAAUUAUGUUUCACUACAAUAGUUUUGAUCUAUGGCAGCACCGCUUUUCUUCCGUUUAUGUUAUUGAGGUUUCCUAAUCUAUAAAAACAUUAGUACAUGUUCAGCUUCAUCAAAGGGAGUUCUAUUUUCACCCUUAUUGUCUUGAUAUGUAUUGUACUUUAUAAGAUGGAGGAGGAAUGUGAAAUGUAUAGAGGGGAGGCUCACAAGGCACCCAUCCUAGCAGCUAUAAAAUUGGGAAUGUGGUCCUUCUGUUCUAUUUUGCAAAAAUGUGAGAUUUCCAUUGAGCAAAAGUGUGUAUGGUGUAGAACCAUCUGAAAGUGCAGUACUGAGAAUAGAGGAAAAUCAGGCAAACAUCAAAUCCAAGGGAUUGGUGUUGGCAUCGUUCCGCCUGUCUUGGAAGUUGGUCUCCUAGAAGAAGUUAUUCAGGUUUUAUGAACGAUACAUGUUUCAAGUGAAGAAGCUAUAGAAACUACUAAGUUGCUUGCCUUGAAAGAAGGUUUACUGUUCAGGACAUUUUCUCAUGAAGGAGAAAACUUCUCAUUCUCAAGCAUGGUUUAUCUAUUCAUGGGUUCCAAAUGUCAUUGUUGCUAAGAAGUAAGAAAACAGAAAAUCCACCUCAAGCAUUAGCGAAAGAAGCAAUUGUUGAUGAGAGAUAUGAGUUAUCUCUUUUUUUAAUCAUCUUAUUUUAAUUAUCAUUUGAUUGUGAUAUUAUAUUUCUAUUGCAAGUUUUUAUUUUGAUAAUGAUUAAAAGUUUCGUAACAUUGUUGAUAGUGACAUGUGUUAAGAGACAAGGCUUGGUGAUAUUUCUUAUCUCUUUCACCUUGUCUUAGUGUUGUUUAUUACUUGUGAAUGUUAUAUUUUACUUUUGUUUCUGAGUAUAUAUAUGUACUAUGUAGUGUAAUUUGUAUUGAGAGUUUUGAUUUGUUCUAGUGAU